GUGCUUCGGCAGCACAUAUACUAAAAUUGGAACGAUAUAGAGAUUAUAUUGGCUCCUGUGCAAGGAUGACACGCAAAUUCAUGAAGCAUUCUAUAUUUUG
rnacentral:snRNA from 1 species